GAUGAACGCUGGCGGCGUGCCUAACACAUGCAAGUCGAACGGAGAUUACGGACGGAAGUUUUCGGAUGGAAGACUGUAAUUCUUAGUGGCGGACGGGUGAGUAACGCGUGGGCAACCUGCCCUAUACAGGGGGAUAGCAGCUGGAAACGGCUGGUAAGACCGCAUAAGUCGGCGAGACCGCAUGGUUUUGCCGGGAAAUGAGCAAUCAGGUAUAGGAUGGGCCCGCGUCCGAUUAGCCAGUUGGCAGGGUAAAAGCCUACCAAAGCAACGAUCGGUAGCCGGACUGAGAGGUCGGACGGCAACAUUGGGACUGAGACACGGCCCAAACUCCUACGGGAGGCAGCAGUGGGGGAUAUUGCACAAUGGAGGAAACUCUGAUGCAGCGACGCCGCGUGAGUGAAGAAGUAUUUCGGUAUGUAAAGCUCUAUCAGCAGGGAAGAUGAUGACGGUACCUGACGAAGAAGCCCCGGCUAACUACGUG
rnacentral:rRNA from 1 species